ACGUCUGUGUGGGAAGGAAGUCUUGAGGGAUUGCACAAGGCUGUCAUCUCUUCGGAAAAAUGUGCUUUACUUUCAUAUUGUUCCCAGCAGGAUCUUCCCAUUCCAUGCAUCUGUUUUCAUUUUCUUCCCAAUGGUCGUUUCAAGGGGUGGUCCAAGAAAAUCUAUGACUUCCUAUCAGCCAGGACUAGGAUCCAUUGUUUUCCAAUGUUCCACACGUAUUUCCAACUAUGUUGUCUUCCUCAGCAACAGCAACCACAAGUCUCCAUCCAUCCAUCCACCCACCCACCCAUCCAUCCGUCCAUCCAUCCCAAACAGGUAAACCUGGCAACAUUUUUGGCAUGACUUGCAAGCUAAUUGUCAUUCAGGCUGAUCCUGUAUUGAACUGAUUCCAACCAAAAACAUUUUCAGUGUCCUUGAAUAAUCAGCAAAAUUGCAAACUGUUAUUGGCUGUUUCUCUCUUAAGUUCAUCUGUUUACACAGACUGACUCACUGUAUUUAGUCUCUGUGGCAUUUUGCUGUCUGAAGCAUAACAGGUGAAUAUGCAGGCAGUUCUCAUAUCUGGGAUGAAUGUCCUGGGGAAUUAAGAGUAGUUUAAUCAACUUCAUUUUCACAAGCUGGAGUAGUAGAGAAAACAAAGGUGGUGACUUCCAAAAGAGAUUGAAGAGCAACUGAUAAAUAACUCUGAACAUAUCAUCUAAAAGUCAAAAUUUCAUCUGGAAAAAAAUAGAUGUUCUUCUAGCCCCCUAAUCUUUAAACUAUUGAUCCAGAAUGUGUAUUCUCAAUUUUACAACACACAUUUACCAGAAGGGUGAAUUUAUAUUUAUUUAUGUGAAUAGUUGCACAUGAAUUUAAUAGCAUUUAACUAUUUGUGAGUCAGUAAACUAUUUACACAACUGAUGUACAUGUUAGAAAGGCAUUAAUCUAUAAUGGCAAUAAAAAUAAUUAGACAUAAAACAUGCAGUAAAUGCUUCUUUAAUUCUUUUCAAGCCCUUCAAAAUAAUUCUGCUCGAGUUAUAUGAUUGCCAAGGAAGAGAGGAAGUUUAACAAUGGAAUAGUUAACAGCUGAGUGGUCUUUCUACUAUAGAUUCUUGGGGAUAUUUUCACCUAAGAUUGGUUUUUUUAAUGGAUCUUUUAAUCUAUUUUCUAAUUCAGUCUUUCUUUUUUUUCAGUCUUUUUAGGACAUCCUAGACCAGGGAUGUCAAACUCACGGCGUCACAGCAGUGUCAUGUGAUGUAUCUGGACUUUUUCCGCCUUCACUAAACCAGGCAUGGGUGUGGCCAGAGUGUGACGCAUUUGGCUCGUGGGCCGGGAGUUUGACAGCCCUGUCCUAGACCAAAUUUGGUCCUAUUCUGUUUUCAGAGAGUUCUUCUGAUGAUGGGCAGAGUAUCAAACUCUUUAUGAUUACUUUACAAUAUUCGAUUGGGUUAAAAAGUGUAAAACAUGCAGAAACAUUCUUAAACUUGACA